AUCAUUUAAGCGGCCACCAAAUAAAAAUCAAGUUGAAAACAUUCAAUGAACUACUUUUUCCCUCUGCCAGUGCUAAAGUGUUGCAUGCAACGCACAUAUAAAUAUAAAUAGUACAUAUGCCAUAUCCACAUAAAAUUCAAUACACAUCCAAUGUACAUAUAGAAUUCUAUACAGUGUAUUUUUUUCUGCCGACGAUUGAAAAAUCAACAAGAACAAUGCAAAUAUGGAAACAUAAACUAUUUGCCAAAUACGAAAUGGAUUUAUGAGCUCGCCUCUCGACCGUCGCCGCCUCAGUCAAAUAUUUGUAGAUUUUAUUUAUGGCCAAGAGCGGGCCAGGAACAAUCAGCAGCAUACAAACAAAAUUUAUUAGCCAAGUUGAACUUUUUUCGGUUGAACACAACUCUCAGCGCCUCGUGCUGAUCAUUCUGGGGGGGGGGGGCGUCGUUUCAGCCUUUUGGCCAAGGUGACUGAUCAUCUUGGUCUAAUGUGUCAAGUGGUUGCCAGAGCUUUGAAUAAUAAAUAAUUGUUUAUAAUGUA
rnacentral:sRNA from 1 species